UCUGAAUCUGCGAACGGCUCCGCAAACCAGUUGUAAACUAUAGCAAGCAGGCUCGGGGUCGGCCUUCACGGGCUGGCCUCGGGCGAUAUGGAUAACCCUGGUAAUUCUGAGGCUAAUACAUGAACGUAGAACCCGGUUGACUAGGCCUCACGGCUAGGGAUGCUGGGGGAUGUGCGAUUGCAGGCUUGGGUAACUCCGGGAAAGGGCGCACGUCCAGACCGCGCUAUAAAGGAUGGGCUUCUCACGAGGCCUGCCCCAGCGGCUCUUGCUGUGUGCUUCUGACCUAUCAACUAGACGGCAGCGUAAGGGACAUGCUAUGGU
rnacentral:rRNA from 1 species